GAUGAACGCUGGCGGCGUGCCUAAUACAUGCAAGUCGAGCGAACAGACGAGGAGCUUGCUCCUCUGACGUUAGCGGCGGACGGGUGAGUAACACGUGGAUAACCUACCUAUAAGACUGGGAUAACUUCGGGAAACCGGAGCUAAUACCGGAUAAUAUAUUGAACCGCAUGGUUCAAUAGUGAAAGACGGUUUUGCUGUCACUUAUAGAGGGAUCCGCGCCGCAUUAGCUAGUUGGUACGGUAACGGCUUACCAAGGCAACGAGGCGUAGCCGACCUGACGGGGUGAUCGGCCACCUUGGAACUGAGACACGGACCAGACUCCUACGGGAGGCAGCAGUAGGGAAUCUUCCGCAAUGGGCGAAAGCCUGACGGAGCAACGCCGCGUGAGUGAUGAAGGUCUUCGGAUCGUAAAACUCUGUUAUUAGGGAAGAACAAAUGUGUACGUAACUAUGCACGUCUUGACGGUACCUAAUCAGAAAGCCACGGCUAACUACGUG
rnacentral:rRNA from 1 species